rnacentral:lncRNA from 1 species
AUCGGCACGCGCAGGGGUGCCACAUCCUGCCGCCAAAUCUAUACGGCGUUCCACGAGAUAUGCUCCAAAAGAUAGGCUACGGCCACUUAUUCGAAGACGGUGUGGCCCUGGGCCGGUGCAUCGAGGAGAAAAUUCAGUUCACGGCUAAAAAUACACGUGAAGGUCUCGCUGACUCUCAAGGGGCGCCGCUACAAAGCCAAGCCGGAAGGAGACCCAUCAUAUGUCGGCAUCGGAAACUUCGAUCUGCUCCGCGAAUGCAGCCGGGCUAAGCUGAAUCCGAAAUACGAUCAAGACGCUCCAGCGGUCCGGGUUUGCGCACAAUCCGAGGAGUAUAAGCAGCACAUAAACUUCAGUGAGCAAUACCAGAGCGUGGUCACGUACGACAAGCAAAAAGGAUACACGAUUACCUUCGACAAUGACGACUCGCUUCGUAAAAAAGUCUGCGACGCCCGAGCGUCGCACGGUUCGUUCUCUCUCGCCGCUUACGACGUCAACUACGACG